CCCGACGGUCGCGACUUUGCUGAGCGUCGCGAGUAGAAAACAUCCACGCGGCCGCUAUCUUAAAAGGUUGAGCAACCUAACCAAGUACAACUGCAGCGAAAAAAAAAAACGGAAAGAAUCACUCCUUUCGCUCAGAGCAGAGCACAUAGCUCUUAAUGCAAGUCGCGUACUUGACCAAUUCGCUGCGAAAUCUACCACUUUGAAUAACCUUCAGCCUGGUCCAAGCAGUUGUUACUAGAAGAUAAUUGUUUCAGCUCAGUUGACAAGUUUCAAGUGCAGAACAACCGUUCAGUUCCUUGAUCCCGAUUUUGCUGAAAAGGUGGUAAUUUCUCCUACACAUCGCUACCGGAGCCUUUUAUUGGUGCUAAAAGUUGAACACGAUAUUUUCCCUGUAGUGUAAUUUAGACCAGCUGCGCAUAGCUGAAUCCAAUCGAAAAGCGGAAAAGAGUGUCUCCUCAGUUUGUGAAAGUGUGCAAAGUUGCGUUAUACCUACCAUUACGUUGGUUGUUUUUCCCCACUGAUUUCCUGGUGUCAAUUUAAAGCUACUUAGCGAGCUGAGUCUGGUUUGUUGUACUGUGAAGUCACUCUCCGGAUGUACUUAGUAGCUUAUUGUUGUGGGAAACAAGUUCAACUUUUUGUUCCAAAGAUCAGCACUAGGAUAAGCAUCAACUAGUUUAUUCAACGCUUGGAAAUACAGAAAAAAGACUGGCAACUAUCGGCUGCUGCACUGAUUUUGCUUUUCCAGAUUUAACCCACCAGCAGCUGAUUGGAUUAGGAGACUUCCGCUAUCGAGUUAGGAACGAAUCAACAUCCUCUAUCUUCAAUGGGUUGACACGAUUUCCGAGUCCGGGUUCUACUGGUGGCGGGAAACACACAGUAGAAAGCAUUGAACCUGAUUCCUCAUUUUUUUUUUUGCAAAAAUAAGAAAUCACUUGUUGGCGGUGCAGAACUUCCAGGCCGAUCACAGACAGACAUCAUUAGAUGUCGGCCUAGGUUUUCGUUGGAAAAAGAUUGGCAUCAUCAACCUUGAACAGAUCACGAAAAUGUCAAGUGCUCGUUGCACUUGAAUUGGUAUGCAAAAUUAAAACAGCAGAUGAACUCUAAAUUUUGGUUACGCUAUUUAUAUCA